rnacentral:rRNA from 1 species
CCAGCUGCUAAGCAUCCACUUGGACGCCUUCCUAGUAAUGACUUUGCAUUGUUGAAGAUAACUUUCCAAGGUCUCAUCCGCGAUGUUGCGGCUUUACUGGAAGAGUG